AGAGAGAGAGAGAGAGAGAGAGAGAGAGAGAGAGAGAGAGAGAGAGAGAGAGAGAGAGAGAGAGAGAGCCAUCAUAAAGUAAAGCAAGGGCGUCACUUAAUUUGUUGGUUGUUUUAUGAGAAGUAGAGAGUUCAUGGUCGUCAGAGAGAGAGAGAGAGAGAGAGAGAGAGAGAGAGAGAGAGAGAGAGAGAGAGAGAGAGAGAGAGAGAGAGAGAGAGAGAGAGAGAGAGAGAGAGAGAGAGAGAGAGAGAGAGAGAGAGAGAGAGAGAGAGAGAGAGAGAGAGAGAGAGAGAGAGAGAGAGAGAGAGAGAGAGAGAGA